rnacentral:rRNA from 1 species
UACCCGCUGAACUUAAGCAUAUCAAUAAGCGGAGGAAAAGAAACCAACAGGGAUUACCUCAGUAACGGCGAGUGAAGCGGUAAAAGCUCAAAUUUGAAAUCUUCGGAAUUGUAAUUUGAUGGAUAAAAUUGCUACGGGCGAAAGUUCACUGGAAAGUGACGCCAUAGAGGGUGAUAGCCCCGUAACGUCCACUGGCACUAUAAUUUUAUUCCAAAGAGUCGGGUUGUUUGGGAAUGCAGCUCAAAGUGGGUGGUAAAUUCCAUCUAAAGCUAAAUAUUGACGAGAGACCGAUAGCGAACAAGUACAGUGAUGGAAAGAUGAAAAGAACUUUGAAAAGAGAGUGAAACAGUACGUGAAAUUGUUGAAAGGGAAGGGGAGGGAAGAUGUUAAAGGGACUCCUUCAGCGUAGGGAUCCCCCCAAGAGUCUUUCCUCUCGCCCGUCUUGAAA